UUUUUUUCAAAAAAUAACGGUUUAUUCGUCUUCGAUGAUGGUCGGCGCCCAAGUCACUUCCGUGUGAGAGUCCUGGCCUACAGAAGGACCGCCUGCAGUCUAGGCCAAGUCAUCCAUGAGGUCCUCACACGACAGCUUCUGUGCAAAGUCUGCGGUGAUGUUGAUGAGCGCCAUGGAGGACCUCAGGUGUGUCCUGAUGAACAGACCGAGGGCUGCUGCAGUCCAUAGGUGACCCCUGGAUUUGGACUUCAAUGCAGAUGUGGACCUGUGAUGUCAUUUCCUCCUCGGCCUCAGACGCCCCACCACCUUCUGCCAGAUGUGACAUUUAUGAGAACAAAAGACUUGAAGUUGGUGUUCAGUGUCAAACCCACAACUGAGACCUUAGAUGGACCAAGAUGGUCCUAACAUUUUUAAUUUGUAAUUUUCAUUUGCAGCAUCUUUUUUGAUUUUGAACAUUAAAUGGGGUUCACAUGGAAGUCCCCAGUUAUUUA